UGGUAAACACUUUUUUCAUUGUUGCGUAAUCAAUAAAUAUCAACAAUACAUUUUCAGAGAUUGUCGAAGCUAUUUGUUGGAUUAAAUAGAUAUCGAAUGCGAAUUUGGUUUUAAAAAAUGAAUAUUUCUUGAUCCCGCUGAAAAAUUGGGCAUGGACCAAUAUCCAUUGGAAUUAUGUGAAGAAGUGAAAGUCAUGGAUGAAGUCAACCGCAUCGUGAGUUUGCCAAUCUAAAGAUAAGAGACAGGGUGUAUAGGAAUGGCACCCGAAAUAUCCAUGACGUGUCACUUCGGGAUUUUCGAUUCAUCUUGAUAUUUACCAGAAAUACUGAACAAUAUGAUGACAUUAAUCGAUCUGUUAUCCGGCUGUCUAUCAGAAAUAGUCUAUAACAAAGCUAUAAGGAUAUUCUUCCAGUAAGAGUGACGAAAAUCCAAAAUUAUAUUUUUUAAAAAGCGUUUAAGAAAACAAAACUCAGAUUGUUGAAA